GGGGUAAAAAUUAAUAAUGGGGGUUAUUAAUAAAAAAAAUUUUUAUUGUAUUAAAUUUUAGUAGAAUUAUUUGAAAAAAUUAAAUAUUUUAUAGUUAAUUAGUAUUGUAAAAGAAUUUUGAAAAUAAAUGAAAAUAAAUUUAUUAAAAAGUAAUUUUAAUUUAGUGUAUCUUGUGUAUCAGAGUUUAUUAAUAAAGAGAUUAUAUUUAAUUUUUUUCGAAUUUAAAAGAGAUAAUUAAUUAUUAAAGUUAUUGUUGUAUAAAUAUUUUAAAUAAUUAAUUUGAAAUGAAAUGUUAAUCGUUUUUAAAUAUAUCUAAUUUUUUUAGAAAAAAAUUUAAUUUUAAAUUAAUUUAAUAAAUUAUUUAUUUUUAAUAAUUUUUUGUUAAAUUAAUUUUAUAUUUUAAGGGAUAAGCUUUAAAUUAAAUUUUUAUAAUUUUUGAAAUUAAAAAUUAAAAUUUUUAUUAUUUAUAUUGUAAAUAAAUUUUAUUUUAUUAUAAAUAAUUUUAUAUUUAUUUAAAAUUUAAUUAAAAAUUUAAUUUUUUAUAAAAAAAAUUUUUUUAAUAUAAUAAAAUAUGAUAUAAUGAUAAAAUUAGUAUAUAAAUUUAUUUAAAUAAAUUAUUAAUUUUAUGAUUAUUAAUUUUGAGGAAUUCGGCAAAAUUUUAUGUCCACUUGUUUAUCAAAAACAUGUCUUUUUGAUUUUAAUUUAAAGUUUAAUCUGCCCACUGAUAAAAAUUAAAGGGCUGCAGUAUUUUGACUGUACAAAGGUAGCAUAAUCAUUAGUCUUUUAAUUGGUGACUUGUAUGAAUGAUUGGAUGAGAUAUAAGCUGUCUUAAAUUUAUUUAGUAGAAUUUAAUUUUUUAAUUAAAAAGUUAAAAUAUAUUAAAAAGACGAGAAGACCCUAUAGAGUUUUAUAUAUAUAUUAAAUUAAAAAUAUUUAUAAAAUUAAUUAUUUGAAAUUUAUAUAUUUAUUUGAUUGGGGUGAUUAAAAAAUUUAAUUAACUUUUUUUAAUUUUUAACAUAAAUAAGUGAUUUAUGGAUCCAUUUUUAUUGAUUGAAAGAAAAAAUUACCUUAGGGAUAACAGCGUAAUUUUUUUUUUUAGUUCAUAUAAAAAAAAAGAGUUUGCGACCUCGAUGUUGGAUUAAGAUGAAAUUUGAGUGUAAAAGUUUGAGUGUUUUGAUCUGUUCGAUCAUUAAAAUCUUACAUGAUCUGAGUUCAAACCGGUGUAAGCCAGGUUGGUUUCUAUCUUUUAAUUAAAAUAAUAUUUUAGUACGAAAGGAUCGAGUAUUAAAAUUAAAUUUAAUAAUUAAGAAUAUUAUUAAAAUAAAUUUAAAAUAAAUAUGGUAAUUUUAAGAUUUGUUUAAAUAUAAAUGAUAAUGAUAAAAAGGAUUUGAAUUUUAUUUUAGUUAAUGGGUUAUUUAUUUAUUAUUAAUAAAU
rnacentral:rRNA from 1 species